AACGUUAUUCGGAAUUACUGGGCUUAAAGGGUGCGUAGGCGGUGCGGAAAGUAGGGUGUGAAAGCCCUCGGCUCAACCGAGGAAUAGCGCUCUAAACUACCGUGCUUGAGGGAGACAGAGGUAAGCGGAACUUCGGGUGGAGCGGUGAAAUGCGUUGAUAUCCGAAGGAACACCGGUGGCGAAAGCGACGUACUGGACCUCUUCUGACGCUGAGGCGCGAAAGCUAGGGGAGCAAACGGG
rnacentral:rRNA from 1 species